CCUACGGGAGGCAGCAGUGGGGAAUAUUGCACAAUGGGGGAAACCCUGAUGCAGCGACGCCGCGUGAGUGAAGAAGUAUUUCGGUAUGUAAAGCUCUAUCAGCAGGGAAGAAGCAAGACGGUACCUGACUAAGAAGCCCCGGCUAACUACGUGACAGCAGCCGCGGUAAUACGUAGGGGGCAAGCGUUAUCCGGAUUUACUGGGUGUAAAGGGAGCGUAGACGGUAUGGCAAGUCUGAAGUGAAAGCGCAGGGCUUAACCCUGGGACUGCUUUGGAAACUGUUAGACUAGAGUGCUGGAGAAGUAAGCGGAAUGUGUAGUGGAGCGGUGAAAUGCGUAGAUAUUAGGAGGAACACCAGUUGCGAAGGCAGCUUACUGGACAGCAACUGACGUUGAGGCUCGAAAGCGUGGGGAUCAAACAGGAUUAGAUACCCGGGUAGUC
rnacentral:rRNA from 1 species